UGUUAGUGUCCAAUGUUAGGAAAACCUUUAUGAAUUUCUGUGAACAUUGAGUAAGAUUCAUUGAUGGAUUGAUUGCUGCUUAACGCCGGGUAACAAUAUUUCAACCAUAUUUCGGCAGAAAAAAUAAGAAAAUGAGAAUGAACACUUUCUCCAGAGAUAAUAUGAUAACCUUUUAAAGGCAAACCAUGUCAUUCUUUUGUGGCCGUCAGAGAAUAAAUUCCAAGACAACUAUCUACAAGAUCAAAGAAAGACGUAAUCACGUAGAAAUAUAUGAAUUACGAGGAAGAGAUAGGGUCAAGAUCAAGAAGAAGGCGCCGACUGAAGGUCGAAUUGGGGUCAGAUAACGACAUCAGGACAAACCCUAAAGGUCAAUGGAACCCAACCAGUGACGACAUAUGUCAUGGCAAAAAAUGUCCUGAUGAUAAUUCAUCCAGAAUUAAUCAUGAACAGGGGAAUAGAAAGGAUUCUGAUGGAAGCUAUCCUAGCAUACACUCCUGCAGUGGUAGCAAAAUAUCGCAUAAAUCAAAAAGAGAAGGAUCUUUUGCGGGUACGGACAAAAUUUCAAGAAGAGAAAAAGAUGCAACACAUCAAUCAUAUAAAUUCAAUAGUUCACUCAUUUUGAAAAGUGUACAGAGCAUAGAGGCAAUCGUAAAAAAGAUUGAAAGCAACUUUAAAGCAGUUCCACCAACUGCUUUUUACAAGGAAAGUAAAGAAAACUAUCAAAAGCAUCAAAGAAAGAAAUACAAAGUGCUUUUCCCCUCAAAACUGGAUUUAUGUGCCAGGAAAAAGAAAAAUCAAAAGAUUCGAGAAAAACACACAGAGUUUAAUUUGGGGAAAUGUGGUAUUCAAAAGGUUUUCCAGGAAAGCAUUUACCUUCACAUCAUUCUGGGAAGAGUAACAGAAUAAUUCAUGAAAUUUA